UGCCUCCUACUUUUUUCUGUGAAAAUAGAGACCUUCUUAUCUUAGUCCAAGUAGGGCCUGCUAUUCUGGAAUAACUAAACUUGGAGGUGGUUCUCUGCCCUUCUUUAAGGUUCACAUUCACUGUAGUAUACAUUCAAAUGGCCUUUGGGGAAUAGAUGUAUAGUGAGCAAAGCUUAUUAAGGUUAUUUCCCAGGGGCCCCCUUUCAGUAGAAUUAGGCUUGAAUAACCCUAGAGAUUGGUCAUCCUCAGAGGUAACAUUGCUCACUAAUUUCUUGCCCAGGCAGAUCAGUUUGUUGAACUGGAGCAAGCUUUUCCAUUGCCUCACCAAGAGAAGAUUCCAAUCAUGGAGCCCUUCACUCCUGGGUGGGACAGAGAGGAAACAGGAUUCACUGCUUUUGUCUCGUCGCAAGACCUCAACUGUGAUCCUUCAUUCUUCAAAACUGCCAACUUCUUCAUUUCUCCUAGUCCACAUGAAAAUGAAAGUUCCCAGUCCUCCUGAGCAUGAGACUCAGUUCAACUUCACUAUAAUAUUAGAUGAAUUGCCCCUUCCUCUCCAAAAGGCAUGUCUAUGGUUUAUCUGGGUUUCCCUGGUGGCUCAGAUGGUAAAGAAUCUGCCAGCAAUGCAGGAGACCUGGGUUUGAUCCCUGGGUUGGGAAGAUCCCCUGGAGGAGAGACUGGCUCCCCACCCUAGUAUUUUUGCCUGGAGAAUCCCAAGGACAGAGCAGCCUGGCAGGCUGCAGUCCAUGGGGUUGCAAAGAGUUGGACAAGAAUGAGCAACACUUAACUAAUGGUAUAUCUAAGAGGAGGCUUGUCAAUCCCACAUGAACCACAGUUGAUGAAAUUUAAGGGAAAGUAAACAGAUAAAGUAAUAACCUCAAGGAAUUUUUAGGAAAUGGUAGAUAUUGGAGGACAAGAGGAAGGAGCUAUAGUACAGAGCAGGGCACAGACUGAAAGGCAAGUCCUGUAGUCAGUUCACCAAAGUUAUACCCCCUUUCUCAGGAUCUUUCCUCCCACCGUGUCUGACACCACAGUGCUCUCUAAAGGUUUUCAAGUUUCUCCUCAAUGGCUCCCAUGGUCUUGCAGGUCUUUAAUAAGUUGGGUCUAUCUCACUAAGGGUCAACCUGAAAAGUCAUAAAAAGUUAGAAACAUUCUGGAAUAAGUGGUGUUACUGGGUGAUAGCAACAUAGAACAUUUAAUGAGAGGUAAGUGAAAUGUCUGGGAACCCUUGGAUUUAGG
rnacentral:lncRNA from 1 species